GUUGUGUUCCUUGCAAGCUCCUGUGGUCACAAGAAAACCUUCAAAGAACACAAGAAACCGAGGUGCCUGACCCAGAGUUGACAGUGGGCUGACAACCGUCUAAUGCAGCUGCUGGUCUCAGGCUGUGGAGGACCCAGGAAUGGAAUGGAAUGGAAUGGAGAUAAUAAGUUACCCACGGUCAACUGCAGUCUGGAAAUACUAAAUGGAAAAUUCCAGAAAUAAGCAAUCCAUAAAUUUUUAACUGAGUGCCGUCCUGCAUAGUAUGGUGAAAUCUAGUCCCGUCCUGAACCAUCCCUCCCGUGACAAUGAUCAGCUCGACAGUCAAGAUUAGCUUGAAGAGGAGGAGAGAGUCAGAGGGAAGCCAAAGACCUUGGAAACUGGAUGGCACUAAGAAGAGGUCUGAGCUACAGAAUGUCCUACCACCAUAGCUUUAAACUGUCACAUGGAACCUUUUGGGAAGGCGAAACAGAAGUGGGCAGAGUGUUCGGAAACUGGACUGAAAAUAAAUUCUCCAUAAAACGCUACCAUCCUGUAAAUGGUUCUGUCUGGAUGGAUUCUUUAAGAUGUGUUUUACUUCUGCUAAAAACUCAAAAACUUUGAAACAUUCACUGUUUAUGUCUCAAAACUUGAUGGGAAAAAGUCAACAUCUGAAGUAUUCAAGACAAGCUUGAAGAAAUAAAAGAAUCCAAUUGUUCUCUGGACCAUCUUAGGGGGCGACGUUCCUGGAGAUCCUUCAGGGUUCCUUGGGGAAAAGAAUCCAAGAUGGGCCUUAAAAGCCUGUCCAAAGAACGUUCUUCUGUUUGGAAAACAAAAGGAGUACCAGAGGUAGGAGACUGAUGGUGCCUAGCGCUAGCGGGCCAGUGUUCCUUCCUUCCUCCUUUGCCCCUUUCUUCUCCUUCAUCUCUACCCUGUCCUGCGCGUCCUCACUUUCCCACCAGCCCCCUGCUGCCCACCCUCGCUCUUCCCAUCCUCCUAAACCCCCUCGCCGGUCCCGGGCCGGCGACUACGCCCACCCACCCCGAGACCGGCUUGCGGGGUAUCUUUCGCGUCCCCAGUCCCAGUGCUCACGCCUUUCUGUCCGCCGCCCCCACGC